CAUCGGGUAUUAAGUCCCUGUUAAACAUCAAGCUUGUUGCAAAGACAUGUGGUCAGCAACCUGCCCAUCCUGUUACCCUGUCAGGACCAAUUAGACCAACACUUGACCAGUGGAAAGAUAAGUUGAGUCUAAGUUCUUCCUGAUCUCCUGCCUUGGAAUUCCUUAUCACAACCCAACCCAUGUGACUUUGUGAUACCAGUGAGUAGAGUGGAUGCAGGACCCACUGGACCAUGGCACUUGCACCGGCUAGUGGGAUGAAGGUGGCAUCUGUGCAGCGCCUGUCAUUCAUCGAGCAGUUUGUUUUCUGCUUCUGGAAUCACAAAAAUAUUUAAUCUGCUGCUUCAGUGGUGUCACCAUCACUCAGGCUCUAGAACAUGAGAUCCUUCCUUCUUUGUUUGGAGGAACAACAUUCUCUAAGGUGACCAUGGUCCUCUGAAAGCCCAGUGCCCAAACUGAACCUGUGCCCCAGUGAAGGGCAUGUAAAGAGCCUUUCCCUCUCUCUCUCUGCUGCUUUUGAACAAAUGUAUGUUUUCUUCUAUGUCCCAGGUGACACGGCAUGGAUGACCUGCUCAGGGAUUGGUGUGAGGGACCAGUCGCAGAGACCUAUCUGUGUUUUCCCAAGCCAUGUCCCCUUUCCUUUCAGGGGCUGGGUAGGCUGGAGGAGUCUCUGAAAUCUGAGGAGAAAGGACCAUCUGAGGGCUCCUUGAUGGACGCAUAUUGGCGACCUUUGGAGACCAGUCCUCCUGCAGUUAUGACCCACCUGGGAGGCCCACUUCCUGCCUGGGCAAAGGUGUUCAGCCCACCUGCUUCAGCCUUUCUCUGCCUGAUGAGCACCGAUGCUGGCAAAGAUUCAGCCAUUUCUUCCUAGGACCCAACAACCAAACCUGGACCAAAGGCCUCAGGUCCUCAGCUAUUAAGGAUGGAUAUCUGUUGCUUUUUGCCCAUUUCGGGUGAAGUGGAGUACAAUGGGAGACAAGAAGACAGAGAAGCCCAACUCCCUCCCUGACCACCCCAACCUCCAACAAACAAACAAACAAACAAACCUCAAGGAAGGCUUCUAAGGGUUAGUGACUUGGUGGCCUUUUGUAGAAUAUAACUUCUCUCCCAAGUAUGGGAUCAUAGACAGACCCACACUGGAUUGACUAAAACUGGGUGGACCUUUGAGAUUUCACAGAGAACCCUAAGAAAAACACCUAGAAAGAUAAGGACUGAGCCAAAUUUGCCUGAGAUUUGAGAGUUUUGUGUGUUUCUCCAGCACUUACUUCUUCCUUUUGGCUUCUGUUUUGGCAUUUCUAUUGGCCCAGCCCUUGAUAUCUUUCCGUGACCCCUUCACUGGCUUGUCUGCUACUAAAUGCUGCCAGAUCAAAGUAUAACAUGAUCUUAGUACCUGGUACUCACCUGACACAGUCCCGUCUUGUUGCAUCAGAUGCAACACAAACACUUCUGAGUCUACCAGAGACCCUGCAGCAGCCUGAGGCACAGAGGCCUCUGUGGGAAUGCUAUAUAGAGCUGGGCCUGCUGGCUCUUUUGUUUGCAUACACCAAAUUUGAAAUAGACUAUCAUUAACCAAAUGGAGAGCAGCUGUGCUUACUGAGAAAGUAUGCUUCUUCAGAUUUGUGGACAUGUUAGAAAUUCUUUAGCCACAGUAUCUGGCUCUAGAGGCCUCAGGAUCCAGUAAAAAAAAGUCUUAGUUAAUGUUCUAGAAUGUCCCCUUCUCUUUGGACUAAUAUUUUCUGGACUGACUCAGUGAUGAAUCCUUAGGUUCCUUAGUUAGAGGAUUAUACAUUUGGGAUUAAUAGGGUUUUCCCUGUUAAAAGGCAAAUGCCAUUGGCAAGAUCUCACACUAAACAGUUCCCAGACAGUGACACCUUCUUUAGUGUGAAUUAAGGGUGGGAAACUUGCUUUGGAAAUUGAACACAGAGCUGUAAAAGGACCAUGGGAGAUAGAGAAAAGACUAGAGUGAGAAUUCCCUCAUAGGGAGUCUACCAGGAACAAGGAGUUUACAGAUGGAAGAUGAGCUGCCAGAGACCAAGUAUGCUUACCUCAAAAUCCUUUCCAGUGUUGUCCCUGCCUGAAAUUAGAUUUAUUUUUUCUUUCUCUUGUCAUAUGAUCAAAGCUUUGGUUAGACAGACCUGUCCCACAUUUUUUCUCUCUCCUCUGUCUUCUUCCCUUCCCUUCUUCUCCCACACCUUUAAUUUUACCUCUCCUUCUUCUUGUCUUUUUUCUCAAUGGUCCAGGAUCCAAGUUGCCACCUACAGCCCACAGUUCAGGUUGCCCUCACACUUCUAGAAACCAAAGAAAGACUUGAAGAGAGGUUAUGUCUUGAACAGUGUUGUGAGAAGCUCAUGGACCCUCUUCUCAGCCUAAAAUCAUAACUGGUGCAAAUUAUAGAUAUUUACAAAACAUUCAAAGUCUCUGGAAAUUGUCUUCAGAAAAUACAGCAGAUGAAAUAUUUAUGAAAGAAGUUUUACUGGAUCUUGGUCAGAAGCAUUGUGGGGUGGGGGGUGGUCUGGGGCAUUUGCUCCAUGAUUUGCUCCUUCUUUCCCACCCUCCCAGCUUACACUACUGCACAUCCACUCCAGGCAAAUGUAGCCAAGAGCACCAUCUUUACCCAGCUGGGAGCUAUGGUGUCUCCCAGGGAGGGGCAGACCAUUAGCACUGCUCAUCCUGUCCCACAUUCCCAAGUCUGUGUUUCAGAGGUUCUGUUCCAGGCAAGAGUGGCUGAGAGACAAUGGGGCUGUCUUCCUCUCCCCAUCCUCCCUUGUAGGGCAGAAAAUCUACCUGGGAAUAGAAGUCCAGGAGGAGGGGACCCCAAUCACCUCAUGUAGCUUUGUUGUAGGGCAAAGACUCCAUGUCAUGAACAGCAUGCCACAAAGACUGGAGGCUGUUGUCCCAAUCUAGGUUGGUACUAAUGAAGCUCAAGGAAUAGAGGUGUGAUUCAGAGAAGUAGGCCACUGUCUCUGCCACCAGCUGUGGAGCACUGGUGCAGAUUUGUUGCUCAAGAGGAGAGGUAAGCCAUUAGAACAAAGAGCUCUGAAGCUCUCCCAAGUGCACUGACUUUAUUUGUACCAUAGUAUGAGGAAGUGCCAGUCUAGGGGUUCUCUUAGAAACAAUGGAAAUUUUGGUGAUAACUAAUUAGGGGGAGACUGGUAGCUCCAUUAGAGCAAUAAGCUAAAAUUUGGGCCAUCUGGAAAUUUACCAGAGAGAACUAUAGAAAGAGUCCACUAAGAAGAACCCUCCUGGGGUUGACACAAAUCUCCAAGACUGGUCUCAAAGAUUACCCCUGCAAAGGGAUCCAAAUUUAAUUGCAACAGACUGUGGAGCAAUUUGUGCCUCAGGGGAUUGUCAAAAAUAAUAAUUAGCCAGCAAUUAGUGGAGGCUAAUAGCUAGGCAUGCUAUUGAUGGAGGCAGACAACACAGAGAUCAGGGAAGGACACAGCACUAGUAAAAUCACUAGCAUCCCAGAGUGACAACGUUCAGGGUUUCAGCUGCACCUUUGAGCAGUAACAUCAGAGGGAUAAAUAGACCACUAAAAUAAUAGUAACAUUCUUAGGGGGAGAUGAAACACUAAAAUAAUCCAUCCAACUUGUCAAAUGAAUUAAUAGGCAAACAACAACAAUGAACCCCAGAGGAAGGGAUCUGUAUACAGAGUUGCUACAAUGUAUUACCUAAAAGGUCCAAUUUUCAAUAAAGUAUUAUGAGACAUACA
ensembl:lncRNA